GAUGAACGCUGGCGGCGUGCUUAACACAUGCAAGUCGAACGGAAAGGCUCCUGCUUGCAGGGGUACUCGAGUGGCGAACGGGUGAGUAACACGUGGGUGAUCUGCCCUGCACUUCGGGAUAAGCCUGGGAAACUGGGUCUAAUACCGGAGAGGACCACAUUUUGGAUGGUGUGGUGGAAAGUUUUUCGGUGUGGGAUGAGCUCGCGGCCUAUCAGCUUGUUGGUGGGGUAAUGGCCUACCAAGGCGUCGACGGGUAGCCGGCCUGAGAGGGUGUACGGCCACAUUGGGACUGAGAUACGGCCCAGACUCCUACGGGAGGCAGCAGUGGGGAAUAUUGCACAAUGGGCGCAAGCCUGAUGCAGCGACGCCGCGUGGGGGAUGACGGCCUUCGGGUUGUAAACUCCUUUCGCUAGGGACGAAGCGUUUUUGUGACGGUACCUGGAGAAGAAGCACCGGCUAACUACGUG
rnacentral:rRNA from 1 species